rnacentral:rRNA from 1 species
AUUGAACGCUGGCGGCAGGCCUAACACAUGCAAGUCGAGCGGAGCGGCGGACGGGUGAGUAAUGCCUAGGAAUCUGCCUGUUAGUGGGGGAUAACGUCCGGCAACGGGCGCUAAUACCGCAUACUAUCAGAUGAGCCUAGGUCGGAUUAGCUAGUUGGUGGGGUAAAGGCCUACCAAGGCGACGAUCCGUAACUGGUCUGGGAGGAUGAUCAGUCACAUGGGAACGGAGACACGGUCAAGACUCCGACGGGAGGAAGCAGUGGGGAAUAUUGGAAAAUGGGCGAAAGCCUGAUCCAGCCAUGCCGCGUGUGGGAAGAAGGUCUUCGGAUUGUAAAGAACGUUAAGUUGGGAGGCGUUACCCGCAGAAGAAGCACCGGCUAACUCCGUGCCAGCAGCCGCGGUAAUUC